GAUGAACGCUGGCGGCGUGCUUAAUACAUGCAAGUCGAACGAGGGCACUUUGUAGCAAUACGAGGUGUUCCUAGUGGCGAAUGGGUGCGUAACACGUAGGUGACCUGCCCCGAAGUGUGGAAUAACAGUUCGAAAGGAUUGCUAAUACCGCAUAUGGUCCCGGGGCUUAGAGGACCGGGUCCAAAGCUACACCCGCAAGGGUGCGGCGCUUUGGGAGGGGCCUGCGGCCCAUCAGGUAGUUGGUAGGGUAACGGCCCACCAAGGCGACGAUGCAUAGCCGACCUGGGAGGGUGAUCGGCCACACUGGGACUGAGACACGGCCCAGACGCCUACGGGAGGCAGCAGUAGGGAAUCUUCCACAAUGGACGAAAGUCUGAUGGAGCAACGCCGCGUGAACGAUGAAGGCCCUCGGGUCGUAAAGUUCUGUUGUAAGGGAAGAACAAGUGCCGCAGGCAAUGGCGGCACCUUGACGGUACCUUGCGAGAAAGCCACGGCUAACUACGUGCCAGCCGCCGCCGUAACAC
rnacentral:rRNA from 1 species